rnacentral:rRNA from 1 species
GACGAACGCUGGCGGCGUGCUUAACGCAUGCAAGUCGAACGGAAAGGCCCUGCUUUUGUGGGGUGCUCGAGUGGCGAACGGGUGAGUAACACGUGAGUAACCUGCCCUUGACUUUGGGAUAACUUCAGGAAACUGGGGCUAAUACCGGAUAGGAGCUCCUGCUGCAUGGUGGGGGUUGGAAAGUUUCGGCGGUUGGGGAUGGACUCGCGGCUUAUCAGCUUGUUGGUGGGGUAGUGGCUUACCAAGGCUUUGACGGGUAGCCGGCCUGGGAGGGUGACCGGCCACAUUGGGACUGAGAUACGGCCCAGACUCCUACGGGAGGCAGCAGUGGAGAAUAUUGCACAAUGGGCGGAAGCCUGAUGCAGCAACGCCGCGUGCGGGAUAACGGCCUUCGGGUUGUAAACCGCUUUCGCCUGUGACGAAGCGUGAGUGACGGUAAUGGGUAAAGAAGCACCGGCUAACUACGUG